rnacentral:misc_RNA from 1 species
GGUUCCCCCUCCUAGCAGUUAAUUGAAAUGCAAUGUGGAUGGUGCCAUUUUUCAAGAUCAAGCUAAAGUGGGAUUCGGGUUCGUGGUUUGCGAAUGCAAAGGCCGUUUCAUCGAAGCAGGGUCAGGCUGGAAGAAAGGUCUUUCUCCUCCUAAGGUGGUAGAAGCUUUUGGGCUUAGAUCAGUGCUGUCUUGGUUAAGCAGCAAGCACUUUCAUAAUAUUCAAGUGGAAGUGGAUUCUAAGGAGCUGGUGCAGGGUAUCCUUUCUUGGAAAG